rnacentral:lncRNA from 1 species
AAGUAUACCAACAACCCAACUUGUUAUUUCGACAGGAUGGACAACUGAUCGCAAUGUAAUAUGUUGACUUCACUAUUCUCAAAAGACUACAACUCAAACAACAUGGUUUUGCUACCAUAGAAAGAGAAAUCAAUACAUAUCUAGUUUCAUUCCAUUGUUCUGGUGGAAGAAAAUGGUGCGGCUAUUCUUCAUUUUCAAGAGGCUUGGCAAUCUACUAAUUUUGGAGGAUAAACUUUGUUUUGAUACGAAUGACCUUGUGCUUUAUUUGGAAUUUGUGAUGAAAAAUGAUCUUGCUCAAAGCAAGAUAGGUGGAAGAAUUUGUGAUCUUAGUAUGGGCGGUGUAGGAAAUAUUACUCCCUCUUGCACUUUUUAUCAGGUAUGCAUAUUAUGUAUCAAGAUGCAAAUUUAGAAUAUUCUUUUAGUGAAAUACUAGAACUAAUGGUUUUCUUUUUAAAUUGAGCUUGGCACGAGUAACCAUGAAAGGAUUGUUUUUAUGAUAUUUAUAGUUAUUGACCUUGCAAAAUUGUCGCUUUGAUUUAAAAUUUAAUCUAUUGGUAAGGACUAGUAAUUUGUUGCUAAAAUUAGAUGAGUUUUAGUGUUAUAGAUGGAAUGGAACCAAAAGUUUCUUAUUUAGAACUCAAAAUCUAAGUUAGUUUUAUGGUAUAAUUAGAUGCCUAUUGUAUCAAAUUCAUAGCUAUUUUAGUAUUUUUAGAUUCUUUAUAGUUUGCAAUACAUUAUUAGUAUCAAGUAUAAAUAAUUUCAUGAAUUCUAUAUAAUGAUUUUGAAUAUAUUGUAGAUUGAUUCUUGCUAUUCAUCAAUGUUAAUUUUCUUUAAAUUUCUUUUAGGUAUAAAAAUAGCGUGGAAUUAGUCGUGGAUUGGCAUCACAAAAAAUAAUGAAUGCAAAUAAGAAUAAACUUAUUGUACAAACUAGAGGGAGAUAUAUGCUCAUUUGGUAAAGCAUUCUCUUUGCCAAUGAUAUUGACAUCAUGCGAAAUAUUGUCUCAUAGCGCUUUUUGGAGUGCAUCGACUGACCAUGGUAGGGGAACUAGCCUACAAGCGUCUUAAUGUAAGUAAAUUUUGUAAUAAAUUUAAAUUAUGUUUACUAUAAUCAAUUAAAAGUUUUUUUACCUUGAUGUUAUGGAAAUGUUGAUUUAAAUGAUCAUCAGUUAUUUGAAGUUAUCGUAAGAUGUCAUUAGAGGUAUAAAAAACACAAAAGCGCAUGUAAUAAAAAUACAUAAAAUUAAAUUUAGAGGGAAAUGAUCCGCUACAGUGUAAGCCAUCAACCAUUAAAUCACAAGAGGAUUGGGAGUGGAUGUGUGCACAUCUCAAAAGCGAGAAGUUAUGAUAUUUUAAAUUCAAUUAUUUCAAUAUUACUUUUACGAUGUUGUAAAUUAAAGUUGGAUGAAUGUUUUGCCUAAUUAAUUACUUGUAUGUUUAUAGAAGUGAUCUGUAACAGGCAAUUGAGUCAAGACUCUAUAUAAUCACCAUGGUGGGAUUAGGUCAUUUACUGUGACUAGGGGAGCAAGCACUGGUAUUAAAAUCUGCUGCAUGCUUUCCUAUUCGUUAACUAAUUAUAGAUUUUUUGAUGAGCAACAAUUAUGUUCUGUAAUUCUUGCUUGAUACCACCAUAUUUUUGUACACUUCAUCUUAGCACACCGCUAUAUGAAAUUUUUCCUUUGGGGGAGUGAAUCUAGAGGCAAAUUUUCUUUUAUAGUGGCAGACCUUCUCGUGUUUAUGUCUUUGAUAGAUCUCAUGAUUUAUGAGUUUAGUUUUGUUUUCCAGUGAAAGAUGCAAAUUACAUGACAUUUGACUUUGGCUUUAGAGUUAAAAAAAAGGGAAAGAAGCCAUAUUUUCUGCUUCAAAUUUUUAUAAUGCCGUUAAUCUUGUUAUUAUGUGGGUUCUCCUUGGUGGAUUUAUUCGAGUCAGCAUACUAAAAAAUUAAUGGAAAGCAUCCCAUGCCUCUAUUUUAUGAUAAAGUUCUCCCCUCAACGUCGAUUUUCAUGUCAGUUUGUAGUUGAAUUCCUAAUAUGAGUUGAUUAUUCAUGCUCAUUUUCACUUAGGUUCUAAUUUUUUGCUCUGCUGUGAUGUGUGUCGAAAGCAAAAUGUCAUUAUUUAUUCAUGUUUUUCCAUAUGGGAACAGAAGUCUUCAUGGGGGCAGUGAAGGAGUGUUGAGGUUUUCGAUUUGGUUUUACUUGGUUUUUAGCCUCCGUUUGACAUCAUUAAUUUUCAUUCCAG